UACAGAGGUCUCAAGCGUUGUUCGGAUUCAUUGGGCGUAAAGGGUGCGUAGGUGGUGAUGCACGUCUGGUGUGAAAUCUCGGAGCUCAACUCCGAAAUUGCACCGGAUACUGCGUGACUCGAGGACUGUAGAGGAGAUCGGAAUUCACGGUGUAGCAGUGAAAUGCGUAGAUAUCGGGAGGAAGACCAGUUGCGAAGGCGGAUCUCUGGGCAGUUACUGACACUGAGGCACGAAGGCCAGGGGAGCAAACGGG
rnacentral:rRNA from 1 species